rnacentral:rRNA from 1 species
AUGCUUGUCACUUUGGGCCAGGGUGCCAUGAUUUUAGAUCUGAACCGUUUAUGUUAUCACCAUUAUUAUAUCUAUGUUCUAGAUCCAAUCUUGCAAGUUAUAGCACUACAAAAAAAAACAUCCGUGACAUUUUGGGCCGAACAAUUUUUUUUCAAUCAUACAUAUGACACUUCUAUGACGAUAAUUGUGACAAAACCCGGUAUCAUCAUAGAUGUGGUGGGCUCCUACAUCUAUGACAAAAAAUCAUGA